GAAUCCAUUCACCUACCCUGCUCCCCUAAAAUACUUUGCUGUGGCUUCAAUAACUUGGAAUACAAUUGGAAUUUUUGAGUUAAGCAAGGUUCAAAGAAAAUCUAUUUCUGCUGGCAUGACCUAAGUGCAGUCUUACCCAGAAGCAGAAGGCCCAGCUGAGGUUGUUCAGUCCUUUUAGCAAGACGAAGUCUUACCAAAAACUCAGGGUAUUUGGUGCGGGUAACUGAAAUAUUUCUUAUAACUUUACAUAUGGGAGGGGAUAAAGCAUCGUUAUUAAAAACAACAGAAGUAUUUCUCCAAAACAAGUUUCUCUCUUUCUCAAAAAAACCUAUCUGUGGUCUGAGGUGGCUGCUGUUGGCCUGAGACAGAAUCCAUAUGCCCAGGUUUUAGACUUCAGGAGCGCAGGUUGGAAAAAGAAACAUGAGCAGUGUCUGCUAUUGCUGUUCAUUGCUGUGAUCCCUCAGGGUUCUGGAAUUGUCUGCUUCCUGAAGAGCCUGCCGCUCACUGGCUCAAGCUGUCCCGAUGCCCAAGGGAAUGUCCCAGGUUUGCAGAUGUGCUCUUAGCAUCUUCCCUGGAAAUCACAGAACUUCAGGUAAACAGUGACGUUUGUAUUAUCUCAGUUUCCAAGUAUCGUUUUGAUUUGGAGGGUCCCUUUUGCAGAGAAAGGCUCCCAAAGCUGGCAUUUCCCAGUAGCAACAGAAAGGCUUUUAAGUAAUUUAUGAAAAGACAGUGAAAAUUGCAGCCACUUCAAUUGUGGUGUAUAUGGCGGUGGGGUUGCGGUUGUGUGGUGGGGGUGUGGGGAGUGAAUGAAAGGCAAGGUGGAAGAAGGGAUAAUUAAAAGCCAUGUGAAAAUGGUCACAACCUUCCACGCCCUGUCUACUUCACUCCCUUGCCCCACCUCUGCCUGUCUCCGUCUUCACCUGCCCUCUCUGGAGAUGGGCCCAUUCCGAGUUUCUGAGACUCACAAAGGUGCAAUUCUGACAUUGGACCUUGACCAAAAAAAAGUUUAAGCACCUCAGGGGACCCCGUGUAGACAUCUCCUGGGACCUCUCCACAGCUCCUAUGCUGAGGGCCUGCCUUUCUUCAGUCUUCUCUGGGGGUAACGCACAGAGGACAGAGAUGCCACGGUGCUUAGCCCAGUGGCCUGGCACUCGGGUUUUGCAUCAAAGAAUUGAGAUGAAGAAGAUUUAGAAAUGACCUGGGUGCUAACUCUCCCUCUACGUAGAAAAUCUUGGCUUUUCCUUAUGGCAGCAGAAUUCAAACACAGACCUCAAAAGUGAUUAAGAUACAAAAUAGUUCCAUAAAGACAAUGCUGUUUAUUUUUAUCGAGGGGGUUAAAUGAUUUGCCCCUAUUUUUUUUUGGCAGGUUAGUGGUUGAGGGAGGAAAGCAAUCAAGCCCUGUUUGGUCAUAAGGGGGAGGGCUUUUCUCUCUCUUUUUAAAAACUUUUAUUUUCAAGUUAUUCAUUUAAUUACAAUGAAAAUGCAUUCGUAGCUGCAAAAAAUAAAUGUGCUAUUUAUAGGAAAAAAUUUAAAUGCAAAAGAAUUAGAAAGGUGAAAAAGAGCUAGUACAAACCCAUGCCCUACAGAUAACCGCUAUUAACAUUUUUCUCUUUCCAGUCUUGUCUUUGUGUGCAUAUAUUUACAUAAUUGGGAUCAUACUAAUUAUAUAGCUUUAUAUAUUUUAUUAACACCUUCUGGGCAUUUCUCCAUGCCAUCAGAUGUUUUUCCACGGUCGUGACUGAACAAUACCCCGCUAUUUGGGUAUGUCAAGGCUCACUGGAUCAUGCCCCCAUCGAUAAACUCUUACGUUGCUCCCGGGUUUUCUCUCUAACAAAUAAAGCUUGCUUUCUUCUUCUUUUAUACCAGUCUGUGCUUUUCUGAUUAUUACUAAGGAGGCAUCCCUAGACAUAUGAUGACGGCCAUGCCAGAUUCUUUCAUAAAGCGGCAUUCCUCCCUCUGGCCUUUUUGUUUUCCGAAAACUCUGUGGAUUGGCCCUCUUUUCCGCGUGCUUAGUAGAAUAGAAGACACGGCUUCUCGUGGAUUUCUGGAUUUUCUUUAUUUUCAAGAGGACAUGCUGUUUCAAGCAUGCUUGGGUUUCCUGUAUCUUGGGAUCCUGGUAAUCGAGCCCGAUUACCAUGACUCCCAACAUCUCCCUGGUGCAUAAGUUCUUGAGUUCAACCCAGGCAACAGGAACAAAUGUUUUUUUGCCCCCAUGGCCUCCCAACCUUGGCAGCCUCCCCCCUUCCCCGUACUGAUGCAUCAAACUGGACGGUGAGAAUGGGGACUCUAUUAGCUCAGAGGUCAUGGGUGGUGAAUCUAAGGGCUGAUGGUGGGAACUCCAAUGGCAGCAGAGGCAGUGGGAGGUGAGGACGGAUGAGGAGAAUUCUGUGGAAGUGAGUGCCCUGCUCAGCCCUUGUCUUCUGCUCUCCUUUCUCCUCUGGACCACAAGGAAUGAAUGGCCUGCUCCUCUUCAUGCUGCCCCUACCUGUUGAUUCAGAUGGAUCCUCACGCCACUCUGACAUGAGGAGAAACAGAAGCCAGCCUUAUGCUUUACUCUCCCCUCCCUGAGGAGACAGACUGUACUCAUUGUUGAGGUUGUAUAAGGGUUUGUACCUCUAACAAAGACAUGAAACAGACAAGCCAUAAGAAGCCUUCGUCCUCAACCCCACUGACUCGUCUUUUCCGCUUAGACCCCCUCAGGAAGGAGAAAAGCUAGCUGAGGAAUAAUAGUGGGGUUUUGGAGACGUGAAGGCUUGAGGUUGCAUGCAGUGCUGUUUAGGGGGCCUUUCCUCACAGAAGUGGAAAACCCAGACUUGAUUGUCUCCCGGGCCUUUGCUCACCAGAGUGGAUGGGAGUGAAGGGGUGAGGAGGGAGAGAAGCUGAGGCAGGGGUAUGUUCAUGGGCUGGUGUUAGGGAUGACCCUUUCUAGCGCUUUCCCUCUUUCCCUUCCCCUUUGCUGCUAGUCCUGCCCCCUAGUGGGUGUAGGCUGAAGGGGCAGGGCUCCCAGACAAGGCACAGUGUGCCCCAGGGAGAGGGCCACACAAGGACAGGAGAAGCGAUGGAAAUUUCAGAUGCUAGCAAUCUGGGAGGAGAGAGAGAGUUCCUUCUAGAACUCAGCGGGGGAGACAGAGGAACUUGAUGAUCAUUGCAGUUAUUGCAUAAGGGAUAGGUGGAAGAUUGUCCUGGCUGCCUCGGUGACUAAAGAUAUCGGUCACUGCCUGGACAUGCAUUGCUCACAGACUUGGGUGAGAACUAGAAGGGGAGGACGAUGAUGCAAAUAAGGACGAGGAUGGCUGCCUCCUUGAGUUUUCUGAGCGCCAGGCAGCCAGCCAGCUGGAUCCACGAGAGGCUUCCCCUGCCAGCCUCUUCGCCGCUCUGGGUGGUGGACGUUGUUGUUGUUACUUCCCAGAUGAGACAGUUGAGGCUCAGGGAUCCAAACGAGCUUGCCUAAGGCCAUGGGCUAGUCAGUGCAAGGACAGACCCCACCUCCCCCAGACUGACUCAAAGAUGCACGCAGUGUCCUGCUACCUCAUUCAACAGCCCCUCACGAUGCACCAACGGUAAGCCGGCUUCAGCAGGGGCGGACAAAAACGAGAAUUCCACCACCGUUACUUUUCAUAAGCUUAUAGUCCAGAGACGCUUCCAGAAGUCCUCACGUCUAUUUCUUCGUUGCAUGAAGCCCAUACCAUUUGGCACCAAAGCCCCUUCUGAGGAUUGGAGAGACUUGUCAUUUGUUUUUCCCAGCUGGGCCACUGUCUUCUCGAAGGAGGCACUGAGUCCUAUCACCUGGCCAGUGGCCUUAUCUCCUUCCCUGAGGGCAGGACGAAAACACAGGCAAGAACCCAGGGACCUGCCAUGUGCACUGAAGUGCAAGUCUCCGUCUGGUUCUCUGCGAAUGUAGAGCUUUGAAUCCAAUGUAAAAUUCGAUCAAAACUCGGUGAGUUUUGCCCUCCUGCUUCCUGUUAGUACCAAGGGCAGGAGCGACAUCAGGCUUGGCCUAUGAUUUCUAUUCUUUGGAUAGCAACCCAAAGAAUUUCACAGCCUCACUGCACUGCCUAACUCUCUCUUCCGGACACAGCGCAUCUUUCUCCACCUGUUUUCCCUUCUCAAGCUUCUGCACCUGGAUCAUCUUGCAGACGGAGGGAGGUCGACGCAGUUUACCAUUUCUCUGUCUCAGCUGUUCUGCUGGUCACCUCCUAACAGCCCUCACGGGGGGAGGAUCGUGGCUGUCUCGCUUGCUUUCCGCGGCAUUUCCAACUGCCUUUGAGGUUUUAUCAUUGACACUUUUGAAUAGCACUGUCAUUUUGUUGUCCCAUUCUGGAUGCCAUCAUCUGUAUUCUGAUUUCAUCUCACCUCGAGACCAGGUUGUCCAAGCCUUAUUUAUUUAUUUAUUUAUUUCCUAUUUUGACUUGAGACAGCUUUUCGUUUACUCUUCACAUCAGUGGGUAUCUGGGAUGCUGUGGCUUUAACUUUGAAACAUGGUCACGUGCAGCCGGGGUGCUUUUACCGUGGGUCUCAUAGGCUAGUGGAGUGGGGGCUGGGAUCUGGAAGAAGAGCCCCAGGACAAAGACAGCCUUGUCAUUGGUUAUGAGCAAGUGCAAGUCUGUGCUUCGGAGCUGGGGAAGACAGGUUUGAGAAGACUUAGGGAAGGAGAUUCCUCCCGUCAAUGUGGACUCUAUCCCAGAUGCCAGGGAAAGUCUCUGGGAAUUCCCUAGGAUCUGUGCUCAGCUUGAGAGGCUUCCAAGAGACAUUAUCUCAGUACAUUCCAUUUUAAUAAAGAACAUGGAAGAAGACGGCAUCUGGGAAGCAUGUGCAGCCUACAGAACUGAUAUAGGUAAAAAGAAUUCUUUUUGCCUGUGGUAAAUCCGCAACUGCUUGGUCAACAUGGAUUUCUUGCCACUAAAUCUUCAGGGGAAGAGCCUCAAAGGGAAGAGCCUCAAAGGGAGAGGUAAGGAUCCCGCCCCUAUGCUGGUUCACAGGAGCAGGGCCGGUACACUAUUGGAAGGGUCCACCUCAUAGAGGAAUUCUUACCCGUGCUCUGAUCUCCCACUGGGUGUGGUGGUCCGGGGGCGUCAUCCCGGUUGGUCCAAGGACGAAUGUCCUCCGGGCAUCGGAAAAGGCCAUGCUGCGUCCAAGGCCCCCCACACGUCUUGUACUCUACAGUUUUUGUCACAUGAGGACAUGAUUGCCUUCAAAGAUCUCCUUAGAACUUUGGGACACACUUCAAGCCCUAAAAACAAGAACUUUAUUACUCAACCUGUUACCUAUCUGCGUCUCUAUUUGGACAAGAUAUAUUAUUGUUCCCCUCCCCCGGCCCAGCUCCUUCCCAAAAGAAAGGUGAUAACCAUCUGCUUUGUUUGAUGAAGCACAUCAUGUGUUAUUCUAGCUGCAGAGAAAGUCCCUUUCUUACUGGGAAGCCUGCGUGGUGGUUUGAAAGGUCAGAGACUUAAAUUUUUGUCUUUUUUUUUUUUUUUAACCGAGAAGAUGUAUAUCCUGGCUGAGUCUCUGACUUCAUCUGAGUUUUUUAUUUGUCCUCACUACAAAUCAUUGGGAUGGACCCAAUGAUUCCUUUACAAGGUCUGUUUUCCAUCCUGAAUGCCAAAGCUGCUUCUCUGAAUAGUAUCUGCAAAGAUAUUCCCUGGCUUACUUAGAGUUCCUUUCCUCUUGGAGAUACUGAAUAUGCUUCCAACGGUGGUAAGACUUUAGUGUAUGCAUAGUCCCUUCUUUAUGAUGCUUCAUCCAGGUGACAACCAGCUAAUACCAGACCGGCCGACGACUUCUUAAACCAUGUAAUAUAUGUCUAGGGUUUUGCUUUUUUUUAAUUUUUUUUUUAAUGUUUAUUUAUUUUUGAGACAGAGGGAGACAGAGCACGAGUGGGGGAGGGGCAGAGAGAGAGGGAAACAGAAUCCCAAGCAGGCUCCAGGCUCUGAGCUGUCAGCACAGAGCCCGAUGCGGGGCUCGAAUCCACGAACCGUGAGAUCAUGACCUGAGCCGAAGUCAGACGCUUAACUGACUGAGCCACCCAGGCGCGCCCUGUAGGGUUUUGUUUUUUAAAUGAACGCCAGCAUCAUAAUAACUAAUGUUACUGAGUAUGUGCUAUAUUCUAGUUAUUCUUCUAAGCCUUCAGAUGUAAAAUCACUUUUGAUUUAAUCCUUACAAAUAGCCUAGGAGGUACAUUCUAUUAUUUAUGCCCGUUUUACAGGUGAGCAAGCCAACACACAAAGCUGAUUAAAUACUUUGCCCAAGGUCAGGUAACAACACGGUAGAACCGGAUUCCACUGGGGCUAACACUUGAGUCUGUGCUCUUGCCCGCCAGCUGAAUCUGGAUUCACGCAAAUGUUGUUUGAUUUUGCUUUGUUUUCCCCACAGCCUCGAUUAUUUUAGGAUCUGUUUUCAAACACAAUACGUUUCUCAAGUGCUAGAGGCUAGCACUUACACGUCUUCAGGAUAGGAUUUGACUCUAGGGAUAUGCAAAUCUGUGUAACACCAAACUGUACAUGCCAGAGCUUAGAAUGAAUAAAUUGGACAUUUGAGAUUUCCGGAGAGAACCAGAGAUAGAGAUUAUGGCCACUACCGUGCGUAUUGAUUUGAAAGCCUGACUCAGGUUGCAGAAGGCCCUGGUCUUUUCCCAGAGCCCCUGCCCUUAGCCUCCUGCUUCGGGCCUUAAAAAGACACUGAGCGUCGCUUGUCUUCCUGAAUGAGAAAUAUUGCCUGUGGUUACUCUGAGGGAGACCAACUGGUACAUGUCCUAUGGCAAUGACAGGACGCGGCUCCAGCUGGAGUCUCUCUUCCCACUGCUGUACUCAGCUCGUCCUGGUUUCGCCAAAGACAAAAACCUCCCUCCCAAAGGCUUGUCCUCGAGCUGGGGGACGACACCUCAUGUUAAACACCGCCCAUGGCACCUAGCAUUUUGCCUGGCACAUGAUAAGGGCUCCUAAAUAUUUGUUACUGCCUGCCAAAAGAGAUCAAUUCAGCCGUGAUUUUUCACUUCUCCAAAAGAUUCGCUGCAGGGUUCCUUUAAAUGGCCAGCUCCCCUAGUGCAUUUAAAAUGUGACUUGAUUUAUAGGAAUUCAACAUACAAGGCCCUGCGAGGCCACAUCAAUCGUGUAAACUGAGAUGCAUGUGCUGCUGGGUUCCCACUGACCGAGCGUGUUGGCAGCUCCCUCCACCAGCCUGGAAUGCACACAAACCCCGGGGCUGCGCUCCCUCCUUUUAUCACAAAGGAGCUCAUUUUGUGAAUGAACAGCCGCCGCCAGCAGCACGUUGGUAUUCCCAGUGACCUUUGCCCGGGGAUUGGAUUCCCGCCCAGCAGGGAGACCGGGGCCCUAGGAAAAGUUUGAUGUUUUUAGGUAUCAAAGGAAGGUCUCCAGGAACCCUGCAACUAAAGACUUUAAUGAGGACCAUGCCCGAGAAAUCCCGGCUGCCAAAGACAUGAUGAUGAUUUAUGUCGCUCACUCACUCCCUAACAGCAAGAGGACUAUUUGUAAAAAUAAAAAAGCUGCUCAUAUGGAAUUAAACAAGAGCAUAGCUGCUUCCUUCCAGACCCUGGGAGCUUAACAAAGAGCAUCCACACUCCGCGGCCAGCAGCACAUGGCCCAGGGCCGGCCGUCUUCCUGUCACACAGCGCUCAGACAGCCGCGCACGCUCCCUGUCGGCGGACCCCAACAGGCACAUGCCCAGGGAAGCACAAACUCGGGUCGGACACAAAAGGGUCUACACUGACCUCAGGCCUCAGCUGAGCCACCGAAGGGCUCUGAGCAUCAAGAGGUGGGCAGAGGCACAGGCCGCUGCCGUGGUCGCCCCCAGGGCCUGGCCGCAAGAUGGUUAGCGCCCCUCUUUGUUCUUGGUGUCGGACCGCUGAGCGACCCAUGGGUGCCACCUGGGUUCUGGCUAGCUCGCCAAAGGGGGAAGAAAUACAUUCUUAUGCCUCCCUUUCCUCAUGUUAGCUGAGGCCACCGCAGAGUGUUGAUAGCAGUAAGGAGAGGAAGCGUAGGACACGUGGAACGCAACGCUGACACCUGCUGAUUAUUAUCGAUCUGUAUUGCGGCUGCCACCAAUGGGGCCGCUCAGACCUCCUGCUGCAGUGACAGUACUUGACCGAGGGACUGGUCUAUGUUCUUGCAGGUCACGAUCGGUCAGGUGCACCACAAAAGGGACCCUAGGGGAGACACAAGAAAACAGUGUGUUAUACUCACGGGACCUAGACAGGGGGUUACCGUAGGGCAUGC